rnacentral:rRNA from 1 species
UACGUAGGGGGCAAGCGUUGUCCGGAAUUAUUGGGCGUAAAGAGCGUGUAGGCGGUCCGGUAAGUCAGCUGUGAAAGUCAAGGGCUCAACCCUUGAAUGCCGGUUGAUACUGUCGGGCUAGAGUCCGGAAGAGGCGAGUGGAAUUCCUGGUGUAGCGGUGAAAUGCGCAGAUAUCAGGAGGAACACCAAUUGCGAAGGCAGCUCGCUGGGACGUAACUGACGCUGAGACGCGAAAGCGUGGGGAGCAAACAGG